UCUAUUUUCUUUUUUUCAGGAUGAGAAAUGCAUGUGAAUCUGUCCAAAUACUCACAAAUUGAAUUCAAUCCAGCUUUAGUCCAGCUGAUGAGUUGUCCGAUCACUUGUCUGGCCCAUGAUGGCUUAAAAUACAGCGCAAGCGAUGCACAGAGGCAGCGUGAAGUUUUAGGCCACAAGAAGAGCACUGUCAGGUAUCUUCUUCCCAAGAAGUUGGAGUCAUGGGUAGAAAGGAAAUAAAGUGCUAAAUGAAGAGAAACAGUAUGUCUCAAUUUCACUUUUUGUUUGUGUGCCAAAAGCUUCAUCAAGUUUUUCUUCCAUUGCUGAUUUCUUCUGAUGCCCUCAAGUGAGAGAAAAGUCAACUUGUUAGAAAUUGGCAUUCUUAUUCUGAAUAGUUCCACGAUUGUUAUGGCAUUUUUGAGUUUCAAAUUUGAAUUAAAAAAAGAGAACAAAAACACCUAAGGAAGAGAAAUUGUAGUUGAGGGUAGAGAAUACUAGAUGAUAGCAAAUACCUUUCCAAGGUCAGAAGGCG
rnacentral:lncRNA from 1 species